CGUGACUUUUGGCGUGGUGAAGCGAGGCAUCGAAACAUCUCGCAGCGGUACGUCUGCUACGAAAGGUCGACACCGUGGACGGGUAACGUCCGCUUCGAGAUUAACAUCACUAACCGUUACAGACAAACCUCCCCCCGACAGCCGCGGGCCUGUGAGGACGUGCGGGGCCCUGCGGAUUCGGCAGCAGGAAGACUGAGAGGUACUUUUCUGGCAAUGGAGGACCCCCCUCCCCUCAAGGACAGGACGCUUCUUGAGAAGUUAAAACCAUGUACAGUGGACAUACUAUCUCCUGAUGCAUCAGUUGGUCGCCUGAGUUGACCUCGUGCAGCUGCAGAGCUGCUGUGAUUGGACAACAUCCCUCAUUCAUGCUGUAAAUCAGCCCGCAGGGGGGCGUUUCCCUGAAACGCGCACUGAUUGGUCAACUCAGACCAAAGUGGGCGGGACGUUUGUGCUCCUCCACUCCGCAUCAUCCAAAGAGGAGUCAAAAUGAAAGCGCUCUCCCACUCUGUAUUUUCGAAUAUCGAAAGUUUAUUUUAUUUAACUGAGGUCGUUAGUUAAACUUAUUCCUCACCCCAGAUGAGGAGAAAUGUUAUUCCCUAAAAGUCUCAAACAGUCUAGAUAUAGGUGUAUUUACUUUUCUCUUACUGUCUUUAUUGUGACAAUCAGGCUAUAUGCACCAAAGUACAUCUGAUUCUUAGAAUAUCCAGAUUAGGAUUUAUUAAAUCAUGCAGGACUAAACAGCACAUUAUUUAAAACAGGAAGACGUGACUUUAGCACACAGGAAAACUGUAGAUCAGGGUUUUUUAAAGUCUGAGACUGUGGGCCUACCCUCAGACAAAUCUUGGAGCAAGAAGCGCUCUCUACCUGCUUAGUUUCACUCAGUUCCUUAAUGCCUAUGGGAUCAUGAAUGGUCUAAUUAUUUAAAACCAUAUGCUCAGCAAUUGAUCCUAAUAGCCUACUGCUGUUUGACAUAACUUCAGACUAUACCAAAUACAUGAAAAAGGUCUGUAUAAGGCAUGUAUUAGUUUCUGACUCUGGGGAAGUCACAAACUACUAUAUAUCUGAAGCAAAUCACAUAUAUGUGAUCUUCUUUUGAUAAUAUUUUUCCACUUCCAUUCGCUGAGCCUCCACUGAAACGGUUAGGGGUAAACAUAAAUAUUAGACAUGUACAGAUAUAAGUUUGUAUAUAAAAAAAAAGUGUGUAUACACAUACUGUACCUACACAUAUAAACUAACAGCUUGAUGGGGAUUGUAAACAUGAAUGCAAAAGU